AGUAGGUCCCAAGGGUAUGGCUGUUCGCCAUUUAAAGUGGUACGCGAGCUGGGUUUAGAACGUCGUGAGACAGUUCGGUCCCUAUCUGCCGUGGGCGCUGGAGAAUUGAGGGGGGCUGCUCCUAGUACGAGAGGACCGGAGUGGACGCAUCACUGGUGUUCGGGUUGUCAUGCCAAUGGCACUGCCCGGUAGCUAAAUGCGGAAGAGAUAAGUGCUGAAAGCAUCUAAGCACGAAACUUGCCCCGAGAUGAGUUCUCCCUGACUCCUUGAGAGUCCUGAAGGAACGUUGAAGACGACGACGUUGAUAGGCCGGGUGUGUAAGCGCAGCGAUGCGUUGAGCUAACCGGUACUAAUGAACCGUGAGGCUUAACCUU
rnacentral:rRNA from 1 species